rnacentral:rRNA from 1 species
UACGGGGGGGGCAAGCGUUGUUCGGAAUUACUGGGCGUAAAGGGUUCGUAGGUGGCUUGCUAAGUCAGACGUGAAAUCCCUCAGCUUAACUGGGGAACUGCGUCUGAUACUGGCGAGCUUGAGUGCAGGAGAGGAACGCAGAAUUCCAGGUGUAGCGGUGAAAUGCGUAGAUAUCGGGAGGAACACCAGUGGCGAAGGCGGCUUCCUGGCCUGUUCUUGACGCUGAGGCGCGAAAGCUAGGGGAGCAAACGGG